GCAAGGUUAACGGCGGAUGUAUUAUGCAGGCUACAUCCGCUGAGGGGAGUCCGUGACGUCAUAUCGAUCAAAGGGGUUGUUUCGCGCCUUGUGAUCAUUGCUUUGGUCUGGGUAUUCAUUCUGCCAUUGUAUGCUUUGCCUAGUUGCAGCAAGUUUUAGCGCCUCGUUACUUUUUCCCCACCCACCCACUCAUGAUAUUCUAGAGGAUUUUAUCUGGUAGUCUGUCGGUAUUUUUUUUUUGGGGGGGGGGUUGUUUGGGGGGGUUUUUUGUGUGUUUUUUUUGUUUGUUUUUUUAAUCUCACAGGAAUAGGAUGUAUAGACAACUAUACAUUGUAUUUCGUUUCCACUGACUUGUCAGUGUGACUGGUGCCGGAGGUAUGCCUUGGCAGAAUUGUCAUGGCUAUCUCUUUUUGCUGCUAAUAUUACUGAUUGUUGCUCUCAUUGUUGCUGCGCAGCUGCUAUGGCAAUACUUCUUGCCAUCAAGGCUAGUUGCGGCCUUGGACCACAAACGGCACCUACCUUCAAACACUAAUACUCUGCC